GGGGCGGGACUUCCGGCUUCCCUGCUCCCACAAAAUGGUAGCCGCCGUGGGGGAUGUCCAGUUUUUUUUCCUCUUCCCAAGUACAGACGCAGAGCAGACUUGUCUUUCCGCUUAACCUCAACCUCGUGUGAUCUGCCAGUUUCGCUCCCGACGCCAAAUUCCAGCGAAACAGCUGAUGCCAGCCAGCUUGAAGACCCCUGCCACAGAAGAAGGGAAUCAGCAUGAGAAUACAGCUUCUUCAUCUCGCUGUCCCAUGACUUCGCCCUGUACUCUUCAGCCAAUUAAUGAUCUCCACACUUGGGACCACUCUAAAACCCUUAAGAACCUGAGACUCAAAGUCCUCCUGGAGACGAAUUUGAGGUUUCCUCCUAUCUGUGUUUGGUGGCCCUAUGAUUAAACCUCUUUCUCUUCUGC
rnacentral:lncRNA from 1 species